UGUAAGUUAUAUGUUAUUUUGUUUGGCUUGAAAAGAAUUAGUAAUAAAAUGUGAAGGGCAUAAUGGAGAUUUUAUAUAUAUAUACACACAUACACUUUUGUUUGUUUAUUUUUAAUGAAGCAGUUACUCUGACUUAAUACUGCUACUUUAUAACUAUCAAACUUGACUUUAGAAUGAAAUUUGAUAGCUAAAACAACUAUUAAAUUACCCAGGGGAAUUUUGUAUGUAACAUGGGAUGGAGUGAAACAUAUAUUUUGUUUUUUGCUAUUUUAGUGACUUGGAUUUUCUGUGAAUUCUCCUCUUUUAGGAGGUGAUUUUAUAGUGCUGCUCUUGACAUUCUUUCCACAGGACUCAGUGUUACCCCUAGUUUUAUGACACUGCCAUCCUCUCCGCUUCCCCUCUGCCCCCUCCCCACCCCCCCUGUAUUUUUUAUUUGCUAGCUUUUUCAGAAAAAGAGAACAAGAGAUGAAGUGGAGUUUUCAGCUACAAGAUUAUCCUGUUCAAGUGUUGAGAUUGCUGUUGGAACUUCUAACAACAUUGAUAUAAUAAAAGAACAUUAUAAUUUACACACUGUAAUAUUAUCUUUACUCAUGAAAGUGAAUGUUAGUAUGAAAAUGAAACUCUUUAGGGAGGGACAGUUUAGUGCAGUGUGCUGUACUACAUUAUUUGGUGUGGAAGAUGGUGGUUGGGAGUUGCUGGGGCUGUUCUGUAAAAAAUAACUUUUACAUCAAGUUCCUUCAUUUGUGAUUCAGCCUGUAGCCUAUUUUUAGUGUCAGCGGUUACUUUAUAACAGCAUAUUCCCAGUUUUUAAAACUUCUGACUUAUUUGAAUAUAGUGCUACAUUUGCCCUCACUUUUGUGCUCUUUAUGCUUUUUUGUUUGCUUGUUUAAAAUACCUUAUUAAAAUAUUCUAAAGUGGGCUUAAGAGAAUUAAGGGCUGGAUGGUCCUUAUGUAUUUUAGAAGACCUUGUUUCUUUGCAAGCAUCUUCUAAAAAUGAUCACACUGACGUGUUGUCAGAGUAAUCAGAUAGAAGCCUUAAAGUGAAUGAGUUUCUGCAUGAAACUUUGGCCUAGAGUUGGAAGCCAUGGUAUAAAGUAGCUUUUUUGAGAUAACUUCUGUUAUGAUGGCCUGGUCCUCAGGAGUUUGCCCAGGCUUUUGAAUGAAGACUGUCACUUCACCAACAUCAGUUAUUUUCCUAAUACGAAGAUUUAGUGUUAAGUCUCAUUGUUCUUUUACCUAAAGCUGCCUUUUGGAUCUACCCUAUAAAACCUAGAAUUUCUUUGUCUCCAUCUGGAAAAUGACCUAAUAUUCUAAUAUUAGAUGUGUAGGGAUUUUGAGUUUACCCUAUGUAAUUGAAAUGAAUAUUAUAAUAUUGGAAAAUCAAUUUUGGAAGCAACAUUUCUCAUUACUUCAAUUAUGUGAAUAAAAAAGCUUAAGUUA
rnacentral:lncRNA from 1 species